rnacentral:rRNA from 1 species
AGUGAACGCUGGCGGCGUGCCUAACACAUGCAAGUCGAACGCGAAAGUCCCGCAAGGGAUAAGUAGAGUGGCAGACGGGUGAGUAAUGCAUAGGUAAUCUACCCUUGAGUGGGGGAUAACUCCGGGAAACCGGUGCUAAUCCCGCAUAACUUCCUGAUGCGUAAGCGUCGGGAUCAAAGGGGGGGAUCCCUUCGGGACCUCUUGCUUAAGGAUGAGCCUAUGUCCUAUUAGCUAGUUGGUGAGGUAAUGGCCCACCAAGGCGAAGAUGGGUAGCCGAGCUGAGAGGCUGAUCGGCCACACUGGAACUGAAACACGGUCCAGACUCCUACGGGAGGCAGCAGUGGGGAAUUUUGCGCAAUGGGCGAAAGCCUGACGCAGCGACGCCGCGUGAGGGAUGAAGGUCUUAGGAUUGUAAACCUCUGUCAGGAAGCAUUAAAUGCACGGAUAUCAACACCAUCCGUGCUUGACUUAACUUCCAGAGGAAGCCCCGGCUAACUACG